rnacentral:tRNA from 1 species
GGAGUGGUGGCGCAGUUGGCUAGCGCGUAGGUCUCAUAGCAAACAUGCGAGUGAUCCUGAGGUCGAGAGUUCGAGCCUCUAUUACCCCA